AGCUCCAGUAGCGUAUAUUAAAGUUGCUGCAGUUAAAAAGCUCGUAGUUGGAUUUCUGACAUGGCGCAAUUGGCCCGCUGGCGUCAGCUAGUGAGCGUCGAUGGUCGCCUGUCAUCCUUCCAUGAACUCUUGGCGUGCUCUUCACUGAGCGGCGCCUCUGAGGUCUGGAUCUUUUACUUUGAAAAAAUUAGAGUGUUUAAAGCAGGCUUAUGCUUCUGAAUACAUUAGCAUGGAAUAAUAAUAUAGGACUAUCGGUUCCUAUUUUGUUGGUUUCUAGGACUGAAGUAAUGAUUGAUAGGGAUAGUUGGGGGUGCUAGUAUUCAGCGGCCAGAGGUGAAAUUCUUGGAUUCGCUGAAGACUAACUAAUGCGAAAGCAUUCACCAAGGAUGUCUUCUUUAAU
rnacentral:rRNA from 1 species